rnacentral:tRNA from 1 species
CAAAGUGUAGCUUAAAUAAAGCAUCUCGCUUACACCGAGAAAAUGCCCGAUAAACCCGAGCCACUUUGA